rnacentral:lncRNA from 1 species
AAGGCCGACAGCUGCCCAAGCCCCAGGGCGGACCACCCGCCACCCCUUGUUCUCUCUGCAGUCUCCUGCGGAUCUUCACCCGGACGGAGGCCGCCAUGGAUCAGGAACACACCAGUCUCGCAGCUCCUGGCCAUCGCCUCCCGAUGACGUCUACCGCAGGAUCCCGCAUUAAGCUCUUGGAGCUAGGACAAUGACAACCAGAUGGCCCCUCAGAGAUGAGUUUCAUGCCAGCACUUCCUUCUCAGAGAAGAAACUCAGGUCACAUCUCCAGCACACAGCAUCAGAACAACUCCUGAUACAGAGGCGAGGGAAGAAAUGCAGUGUCGUUACCGCUGUUCUUUUUCAAAUGAGGAAACUGAGGCUCAGUAAGUGAGGCACAAGUGCCCAAUCGCAUACUCAAAUGGGAUGGGUUGGGCAUGCUGCAGGUGAUGGCAGUGACGGGACCGUACUGAUGGUGACAGAGGAGGAGGAGGAUGCAUGGGAGAAGGAAGGGGACAGGGAUGAGGAGGAGGAGGAGGAAAGGGAGGAGAAGGCCCACAUGAUGACGUCAGGUCG